rnacentral:tRNA from 1 species
GGGGCUAUAGCUCAGCUGGGAGAGCGCCUGCUUUGCACGCAGGAGGUCAGCAGUUCGAACCUGCUUAGCUCCACCA